rnacentral:rRNA from 1 species
AUUGAACGCUGGCGGCAUGCCUUACACAUGCAAGUCGAACGGCAGCACGGGAGCUUGCUCCUGGUGGCGAGUGGCGAACGGGUGAGUAAUACAUCGGAACGUACCCUGAAGUGGGGGAUAACGUAGCGAAAGUUACGCUAAUACCGCAUAUUCUGUGAGCAGGAAAGAGGGGGAUCGCAAGACCUCUUGCUUUAGGAGCGGCCGAUGUCGGAUUAGCUAGUUGGUGAGGUAAAGGCUCACCAAGGCGACGAUCCGUAGCGGGUCUGAGAGGAUGAUCCGCCACACUGGGACUGAGACACGGCCCAGACUCCUACGGGAGGCAGCAUGGGGAAUUUUGGACAAUGGGCGCAAGCCUGAUCCAGCCAUGCCGCGUGAGUGAAGAAGGCCUUCGGGUUGG